rnacentral:pre_miRNA from 2 species
AGCGUACUCUCUCCGUCCCAGAAUUCUUGUCUUACAUUUGUCUAAAUAUGAAUGUAUCUAGUUAUGUUUUAGUAUUUAGAUAUAAUCAUUUUUAGACAAACCUAAGAUAAGAAUUUUGAAAUGAAGGAAGUAUCAU